rnacentral:rRNA from 1 species
UACGGAGGGUGCAAACGUUGCUCGGAAUCAUUGGGCGUAAAGCGCACGUAGGCGGUUCGGUAAGUCGGAUGUGAAAUCCCUCGGCUUAACCGAGGAAGUGCAUCCGAAACUGCCGAGCUUGAGUACGGAAGAGGGUCUCGGAAUUCCCGGUGUAGAGGUGAAAUUCGUAGAUAUCGGGAGGAACACCGGUGGCGAAGGCGGCGAUCUGGGUAGAUACUGACGCUGAGGUGCGAAAGCGUGGGGAGCAAACAGG